rnacentral:lncRNA from 1 species
CAAGCUUAAUGAAUGAGAUGUUACUCCAUUGGAGCAGCCCUUGUGGACUCCAGAGUGGGGUUAAGUUACGAGUAAGUGCAUGCAUGAGGUAAGCUUGGUUAAGAGAAAAGAAAAGUUUUCAGUCAGAUCUUGUUCAGGUUAAGCCUGAACAGUAACAGGGUGAUCAUGUAUGGGAUUCUACCAGAUGUUUAGAGAGUUCAGUUAGGCUUGCUACGGGUCCC